UACGGAGGAUGCGGGCGUUAUCCGGAUUUAUUGGGUUUAAAGGGUGCGUAGGCGGUUUUUUAAGUUAGUGGUUAAACGUCGGGGCUUCACCUUGAUUUGCCAUUAAUACUGUAAGACUCGAGUUCAGACGAGGUAGGCGGAAUAAGUUAAGUAGCGGUGAAAUGCUUAGAUAUAACUUAGAACUCCGAUAGCGAAGGCAGCUUACCAGACUGCGACUGACGCUGAAGCACGAGAGCGUGGGUAGCGAACAGG
rnacentral:rRNA from 1 species